rnacentral:rRNA from 1 species
AGCGAACGCUGGCGGCAGGCUUAACACAUGCAAGUCGAACGCCCCGCAAGGGGAGUGGCAGACGGGUGAGUAACACGUGGGAACGUACCCUUUGGUUCGGAAUAACUUGGGGAAACUCAAGCUAAUACCGGAUAAGCCCUUAUGGGGAAAGGUUUACUGCCGAAGGAUCGGCCCGCGUCUGAUUAGCUAGUUGGGGAGGUAAUGGCUCACCAAGGCGACGAUCAGUAGCUGGUCUGAGAGGAUGAUCAGCCACACGGGGAAUGAGACACGGCCCAGACUCCUACGGGAGGCCGCAGUGGGGAAUAUUGGAACAGGGGGGCAACCCUGAGCCAGCCAUGCCGGGUGAGUGAUGAAGGACUUAGGGUUGUAACGCUCUUUCACCCGGGACGAUAAUGACUGUACCGGGAGAAUAAGCCCCGGCUAACUUCGUGCCAGCAGCCGCAGUAA